rnacentral:sRNA from 1 species
GAGUGUGUAGGAGAGGUUUUUCUUAAACAGUGGACACGAGGAAACACUUGAUUAAGUAAAACUUAGAA